CUGGCGGCAUGCCUAAWACAUGCAAGUCGGACGAGGGUAGCAAUACCCUAGUGGCGAACGGGUGAGUAACACGUGGGAAAUCUGCUUAAGUCGAGGAUAACUGCUGGAAACGGCAGCUAAACUGGAUAGGUUAUAUUGGGGCAUCUGAUAUAAUUAAAAGUCCUUUACGGGAAUGCUUAAGAUGAUCCUGCGUCGCAUUAGCUAGUUGGUGAGGUAGCGGCUCACCAAGGCGACGAUGCGUAGCUGUGCUGAGAGGCAAAACAGCCACACUGGGACUGAGACACGGCCCAGACUCCUACGGGAGGCAGCAGUAGGGAAUUUUCGGCAAUGGGGGAGACCCUGACCGAGCAAUGCCGCGUGAAUGAAGAAGGUCUUCGGACUGUAAAAUUCUGUUAUUUGUGGAAGAAAGGUAGUUGGAGGAAAUGCCAAUUACUUGACGGUACCAAAUGAGAAAGCCCCGGCUAACUAUGUGCCAGCAGCCGCGGUAAUACAUAGGGGGCGAGCGUUAUCCGGAAUUAUUGGGCGUAAAGCGUGCGUAGGUGGUCAGUUAAGUCUGGCGUGAAAUUCCCUGGCUUAACCAGGGGGGGUCGUUGGAAACUGGUUGACUUGAAUCCAGAAGGGGUAAGUGGAAUUCCAUGUGUAGCGGUAAAAUGCAUAGAGAUAUGGAGGAACACCAGUGGCGAAGGCGGCUUACUGGUCUGGGAUUGACACUGAGGCACGAAAGCGUGGGUAGCAAACAGGAUUAGAUACCCUGGUAGUCCACGCCGUAACCGUUGAGCACUAAGUGUCGGACGAAAGUUCGGUGCKGUAGUUAACGCAKUAAGKGCUYCCGCC
rnacentral:rRNA from 1 species